rnacentral:rRNA from 1 species
GAUGAACGCUGGCGGCGUGCCUAAUACAUGCAAGUCGAGCGAACAGACGAGGAGCUUGCUCCUCUGACGUUAGCGGCGGACGGGUGAGUAACACGUGGAUAACCUACCUAUAAGACUGGGAUAACUUCGGGAAACCGGAGCUAAUACCGGAUAAUCUAUUGAACCGCAUGGUUCAAUAGUGAAAGACGGUUUUGCUGUCAAUUAUAGAUGGAUCCGCGCCGCAUUAGCUAGUUGGUAAGGUAACGGCUUACCAAGGCAACGAUGCGUAGCCGACCUGAGAGGGUGAUCGGCCACACUGGAACUGAGACACGGUCCAGACUCCUACGGGAGGCAGCAGUAGGGAAUCUUCCGCAAUGGGCGAAAGCCUGACGGAGCAACGCCGCGUGAGUGAUGAAGGUCUUCGGAUCGUAAAACUCUGUUAUUAGGGAAGAACAAAUGUGUAAGUAACUAUGCACGUCUUGACGGUACCUAAUCAGAAAGCCACGGCUAACUACGUG